rnacentral:rRNA from 1 species
GAGUUUGAUCAUGGCUCAGAAUGAACGCUGGCGGCGUGCCUAACACAUGCAAGUCGUACGAGAAAUCCCGAGCUUGCUUGGGAGAGUAAAGUGGCGCACGGGUGAGUAACGCGUGGGUAACCCACCUUCGAAUCUGGGAUAACUCCGCGAAAGCGGUGCUAAUACCGGAUAAGACCACAGCCGUUUCGGCGGCAGAGGUAAAAGCUGACCUCUCCAUGGAAGUUAGCGUUCGAGGACGGGCCCGCGUCCUAUCAGCUUGUUGGUGGGGUAAAGGCCUACCAAGGCAGCGACGGGUAGCUGGUCUGAGAGGAUGAUCAGCCACACUGGAACUGGAACACGGUCCAGACUCCUACGGGAGGCAGCAGUGAGGAAUUUUGCGCAAUGGGGGAAACCCUGACGCAGCGACGCCGUGUGAGUGAUGAGGGCUUUCGGGUCGUAAAGCUCUGUCGGAUGGGACGAAUAACGACUGUGUGAAUAAUGCAGUCAGAUGACGGUACCGUCGAAGGAAGCACCGGCUAAC